CACUUCUCGGCGGUUUGGCGAUGACGUCACCGAUGCGGCCGGCCGGGAAUGGGAAGUAUCAGCUGGAAGCGAGGACGAUUGGCGGGACUCGUGAUGUACAAACCCCGUCACUGACGAUUGAAAAACCAGAAUCUAUGUCAGAACCCGCCGCCUUCGAAGAACCUCAGCCAGAAACCUCUAAACGACUAC